rnacentral:rRNA from 1 species
CCUACGGGUGACAGCAGUGAGGAAUAUUGGUCAAUGGACGAGAGUCUGAACCAGCCAUGCCGCGUGCAGGAUGACGGCUCUAUGAGUUGUAAACUUCUUUUAUACGGGGGUAAUAUCAGCUACGUGUAUCUUUUUGUAUGUAUCGUACGAAUAAGGAUCGGCUAACUCCGUGCCAGCAGCCGCGGUAAUACGGAGGAUCCAAGCGUUAUCCGGAUUUAUUGGGUUUAAAGGGUGCGUAGGUGGGUUUAUAAGUUAGUUGUGAAAAUUUGGGGCUCAACUCCAGAAGUGCCGUUGAUACUGGAAGACUAGAGAAUAGUAGAGGUAGGCGGAAUGUAUGGUGUAGCGGUGAAAUGCGUAGAGAUCAUACAGAACACCGAUUGCGAAGGCAGCUUACCAAACUACAUCUGACGCUGAGGCACGAAAGCGUGGGGAGCAAACAGGAUUAGAUACCCGAGUAGUC